GGAGCACAGGUUUACCUGUGUGACUGCGUACCUUUUGUAUAAUGGGUCAGCGACUUAUAUUCUGUAGCAAGGUUAACCGUAUAGGGGAGCCGUAGGGAAACCGAGUCUUAACCGGGCGUUAAGUUGCAGGGUAUAGACCCGAAACCCGGUGAUCUAGCCAUGGGCAGGUUGAAGGUUGGGUAACACUAACUGGAGGACCGAACCGACUAAUGUUGAAAAAUUAGCGGAUGACCUGUGGCUGGGGGUGAAAGGCCAAUCAAACCGGGAGAUAGCUGGUUCUCCCCGAAAGCUAUUUAGGUAGCGCCUCGUGAAUUCAUCUCCGGGGGUAGAGCACUGUUUCGGCUAGGGGGCCAUCCCGGCUUACCAACCCGAUGCAAACUGCGAAUACCGGAGAAUGUUAUCACGGGAGACACACGGCGGGUGCUAACGUCCGUCGUGAAGAGGGAAACAACCCAGACCGCCAGCUAAGGUCCCAAAGUCAUGGUUAAGUGGGAAACGAUGUGGGAAGGCCCAGACAGCCAGGAUGUUGGCUUAGAAGCAGCCAUCAUUUAAAGAAAGCGUAAUAGCUCACUGGUCGAGUCGGCCUGCGCGGAAGAUGUAACGGGGCUAAACCAUGCACCGAAGCUGCGGCAGCGACGCUUAUGCGUUGUUGGGUAGGGGAGCG
rnacentral:rRNA from 1 species